GGAAUAGCUACUCUCGAACUCAGACACUAGGGCUCGCUCCUCGUUCACGCGCGCAUUGUGAGCAUUCAAGUUUCGUUUUUUGCACUUGCUUAGAAGCUGAAAUUGCGGACAUUGCGGGGUUGGGCUUGAUGACAUUUGUUGCUCAGCUGCCGCGACGCAUUUGGAGCAAAGCUUCUGCUUAUUUCUUUUGGCCGCACCUUAUAUUUGUUGUCUUUGUCAACAUCUGACCUGUUUCUGCCUUGUUGAAAGCAAGUGGCCACAAGUACUGCUUAGUUUGCUCAGUCUAAACCUGGUAGUGCGUCCAGUUUAGCGCCGUGCACAUGUGUGGGGCAUUUCCUUGUUCUUAUUCUGCUGAUGUGUCGUGUUGUACAGUCUGUUUCACACUUAGGGGAAAUCUCGGAGCGCAUUGCAUCGCGAUGCGGCGAGCACUGGAGUCGGGUGCCGGAAGCAGCUCGCACAGGCGCAGACGCUCAAGGCGCCUUAUCUUGAACCGCGUCGACUGCUCGACGCGGCUGGCCACCAAUCGCAUCGACAGCUCGACACAAGAUAAUGCGCCUUGAGCAUCUGCGCCUGCGUGAGCUGCUUCCGGCGCCUGACUCCAGCGCUCGCUGCAUCGCGAUGCAAUGCGCUCCGAGAUUUCCCCUAAGUGUGAAACAGACUGUACAUAGGAGGAAAGCCGGUGCUCCACAAUAUGGUUGUCAGUAUUGCUGAAUACAACACAGUCUUGCUGCCUUGACACACCGCAUCAUUUGACAUCUGGGGGUGAGGUGGCAUCUUGCUGUUCCUUGUGGUCAGGCAUAGCCAAGACUGGCGGUAGAGUCCGCACACAAAGUUCAAGGUUGAACAAUAGAACCAGCACGCCCAAUAAAUGUGUGUGCAAAUUUAGCUCUAAGCGUGAUUUAUGUGAUUUAUCACAGAAGGAGCUUGGUCCAUGGCCAAGCAGAGUGAGCACGAACAACAACAACAACAACCGUCUUCUUUCACAUCCUUUGUUGGUGCCUGCCUUUGUCGCUACAUAGUAACUAAUUAGUAAUUAGUUUGCUAAGCUAUCCAUAACUGAGAACUCGAUCGAGCAUAGACAAAAACAUGACUAUAGGCUCCUGUGUUUCUUAUGUUUAAAUCACAAUUUGUAGGUAUCAAACACAGCAUAGCAUAAAUGAUACAUUGGGCACUGCAACCCUGUAAUGUGCACAUUGAGUGCCUUUUCGCGUCUUCUUCAGAGGGUGCUCGAGAUUUUUGGUUGGGUUGCCGUAGAUGGGGGGGGGGUGUUAGCUCAGUGAAUCUUCCUUCCAAGGCAUUUAGUUUGUUAAAGUUAUGCCGCUAUAGAUGUGUCCUCAUUGUUCAGGUUACUUCUGGCAACACCUGAACAUUCUUGUGGCUAUGAUGUGAUGCUUCAUGACACAAGUGGUGCUCAAUUCUGAUAUUGUUGGCAUGCUUUUUCACAAAUGGUUUUAGUAAGAUAAUUGCACAGGUGACGCAAAAUGAGCCACAGCAUAUGCUUCACCUCCAGCAUGUUCAUGAUCAUCGAUGGCAUGUAAAACAGUGAUUCAGACCAAGCAUCGCAAAGAAUGAUUGUUGCCUUUCUUUCUUACAGGCUGCUGUGUUUCAGCUAAAUCUGCUUUUCCUGUGUCCAGUGGCCUUGUCGCUCAAUUAGUGCUUGCCAAUUUCCAUUACCCUGCAACCCACUAAAAAUAUGAAAUUUUAGACUAUGAUGCCUCCCCUCUCUUCCCUUGUCCUUCUGACCUUUCACUCUGCUGCAAGCUUUUAGAUUUCAAUACUUAAAUGAAUAAUACAAAAAUUGAUGCUACCAUAUUAUUUGAUGGCUAUCAUGAUGGCAAUAAUUUAGGUGAACCUGAAACUAAAUGAGAAAAUAAAAUAGGCAUGUGUGAGUAGGACUGACUGUUCCUGGUUACUGGCUCUAUGCUAAAUUUGAGGUCUUUGCCUCAAGGAAAUGGGUCUUGGAUUCUCAGACCCUUUUUGUGAUCUUGUGCCUGUAUCAGACCUGAUAUACAGUCACGGAAGUUUUACAAAAAGGAGCGCCUUUCUUUUGGGGAACUGUUUUUAUCACAAGUGUGCUAGAUAGUGCCAGUUAUGCAGUGAACAGGCACAACUGCAGGUACAAACUAUAGCAUGUACUUUACUUUAAAAUAAUUUCACAUCUAGUUGUGAAUUUCACAGGCCACUUCACAACUGCAAGGUGAAUCUGAUGUAGGCAGUGUCAGGGUCAUGGCCCAUAUUUUGGUGAACGCCAAGAAUGCAUCCUGUGACUGAAGUUUGAGCAUUUGAGCCCACCUUUUGGAAGUGCUUUUUAUGUGCACUCAGUAAGUGACAGUCAGUGAUCCUAGAGGCAAAACUUAUUGUUCUGCAUUAUGCAAAUGUUUUUAUAUUUUCACUAAUAUACUGUGGUCACUAUUACUACGCACUGUUUAAAAGGUGUUGAAAAUAAAAAGCUACUUAUUUGCCCUAAUAUAAUGUAGAAAUAAACAUUCUGCAUUCUGAAAAGUGAAGAAAAAAAAACAAAAAAAAGAAAAAAUCACUGCCCAAGCACUCCAUACAGAUGGUUAACCAGCAAAGCUGAAACGAGCGGCCGCGUUGUUUAUGACUGGGUUAAUUACGUCUUUGUGUUUCUUAAUGAGGUUACACACACGUUCGGCUGCGACGUAGAGAACGACGUCACUUGAUGGUGUGUCCGCCAUUGUCGCCUGCGUUCGAUGUCUCAUGUUUGCUUGGCAGUGUGGUUAGCAGCAUUUGCCCGCCAUUGCCGCUUGCGAUUCUUUGAAAUUAAAUUGCUUCAAAAUUAAAUCUGUCCGUCACGUAAGACAACGAGUGGCUCAUACCUCCUUAAGCAAUGGCUCAUGCGGCCUCCCCAUUAAGACGGCACAAGAGAAGUGAAAUUCUACGCUGGAAUUAUGAGCCGCAACGGAGCCAGCUGUGGAAAAAGACAACGAACGUGGGAGCAGUGGCAUGAGCGAAACCAGAGGGGCGCCAACAAGCCAGCUGCGGAAGAGACGAUGCUCGAGCCAAUGCUGAUGAUGAUAGUUAUCUGUACACAGGCGACAGACACACGCUUUUUCGUUUCGCUUAGCCAUAUAAAGCUUCGUUUUAAAAACAUUAUGGUCGCAAGAUUCACAACCACUUUUAUAAAAUCAUUGAAGUGCACGCAAACAGCCUCUACAUUGUGUCUGUGAAAGACACUGCUGCAUCUUCCUGUAGCAUUAUGCACCUUAGCUUUGUGUGGAAGCCGCGGUGGUUGUACUAUGCUGCACCACAAUGAACCUUGGUUAUGUGAAAAAGCUGCUGUUGCAUUACUCUUUACUGUUAUGCACGUCAACCUUGUGGCAAAGCCACCUCCGUGCUCCACCACAGAGUAUUUUAGGUGUGUGAAAAAGCACUUACUAAAUAUUGCAUGUGCUGGAUUUGAGCAUUUUUAAUGCAAAGAAUUCUUUCUUCAUACCAAGCACUUUGCAGUAGGUUGGUCUUUCCCAUUUAUAACAAAAAUGUCUAGCAGCGAGUCCAAGCCUGUCUCCCAACAUAACAAUCCAAUGCUCUAACCAUUAGGCCGCUUUUGUGCACAUACUUCGCGCUCGCCAAUGUGUAGCUAGGUGUAUGAGGUAGUGGCCCAUGCAUUAUGGUGCACAAUAUGUGUCGAAGCAAGUGUGCAUGUACAAGUUGCUCGUCAAAGUGAGAGCAUGUCAGUUUCUCCCAUUCUUCCUUUGUGGCAGCACUUUGAGGUAUUUUGUUGGACAGCUCCAGCUUUGCGAUUCACCCACAUUUCCCAGUCCCUUCAUUGUAGCAGCUUGCACAACAUGGACACUGUGUGACAUUGUACUAGUUUUGCAUUGAGGGUGAAGGUGAUAUGUGCUCAUUGAGUGAAAAAUGUUGACUAGAGGUGUAUGCACAGAAAAGUAUGACAUUCAUCUUAAUACUACAUGUAAUGAUUCUAUACUCCUUGUGCCACAGUGACACAUGCCCAAAUCAGCAGACGGGCCAAGAAUGGGCUCAUAACCAUUUGUGCAUACCGCAUAAGCCAUGUUGUCCACUCGGCAAAACAGUAGCAACCACAGUGUAGGCAGGAAGAGGCAAAGAAACCUUUAUAUUACUACCAUUGCAAGGAGAGUACGAAGGCGAAGGGCCUUCGUACUCUCCUCGCAAUGCUUGUCAGACAUGCAAUCACUCGCCAUACACAAACACGUUGGUCAAUGCUGCAAUGCUCGGCAGAAUCCUAAACAUAAAUCCCCACAGUGUGUGGGAUCUACAUAAUUAUUUUUUUCAUUUUUCAGGCAUUUGGUGGUAGAGGCCAGUGCGUUACACAGAAAUCCCACUACACUGCAGCAACGUUCAGAAUGUAGUAUGAGGUACAUUAGUUGGCUACAAGUUAAAAAACAGAAAUUAUAUUGUAAGGUUUCUACGUAGACUUACUUAGUGACUCUAUCUGUUUAUUGUGUCAUUCUUAAGCAGGCUUCUCUUCUUCGUCGUCCUCUUCUACCUUCCUGUGCCGUGGCCACUGGCGAUGUGGAUCGCUACAUAUAUUAGUAGUCAAAAUAUAGUAGCCAGUGUUGAAACUACGCAUGCAUUCAAGGCUGAGCCACAGCAUGAGAACACGGAUGAGCAGACACACACGAUGGUCACUUGAGUUGGCAUUCUGUCUAUCUUUACCAACAAGCCCAGCUGUACAAUGAGUAAUAUUAUCGCGACUGCAGCACAGCAGUGGUCUAGUGGCAUAGUCUCGACCUCGUAUGGAGGAGGUGCCAGGUUAGAAACUUGGGAACUGCCAUGAAUCUCACAAUCAACCCUUAUCCCUCGUUUUCCCACAGCUGCAGUCAGAUGUGCUGUAUUUUGGUGGCUGUCAGGAAUCACGAGAUCCAGACAGGCUGCCACUGGAAGUCCCUUAGGUUAGGUGAUACCUCAAAUAUGCCUCCAAAUAUUUCACUAUAUAAACCUUUAUAGAAUGAGAAACUUGUCAAGAGCCAAGUUGUUACACACAAAAGAAAACUGUCACUAAAUAGUGACCAGUUUCAUUUGUUUUGCAAGUCACAGGUUGUGUGCAUUUGACAUUGCUGACCAACUCUUAUCCACUCUCCGAUACAAUAUCCAUAGUCAUUGUAGUAUUUAUAUUAAAAUAAAAAUACAUAUAAGAUUGACCUGGUCAGAAAGAAUUGCCAUUUUGGGAGGGGCUAGGCUGGAGGACAAUUUGUCAUUCCUUUCUCUUCUCUGUGAUCGAGCUGAUCAAUUUCACUACAAUGGUAAACGUACUGCAGUUCCCUGCAUUCACAUAUGUUUUCAGAGAAAACUAUUAUGUGGAGCCAUGUUUGUGGUAAUGCAACGCAAGAUAUAUGCCGUGGCGCAUGACUCUUUAGUAAUAUUGUUAAAUUCUAGUUGUGACCAAUCUUGCUGCUCUUUAUCUGGUUCUUGAUGAGUUCGUGGAAGUUCAGGUCACACGAAGAUACUCGAUGAAGUUUCUCUGCGAAGUUCUCUUUAAAACUCUAGCAGCUGGCAUCAUAAAGUAAGCAUGCGAAUUGAGAGCAAAUGUACAUGAUACAGAAUAGUUCAUUUUUGCCUGCCCUCCUUGUUUUAUUUCUGGAUCUGCAAUGAACAGAUCCACAGCAUCUUGCUCAUAGGCAAUUAGGCGGUGGCUGUCUCAGCGAUGCUAACAUCUCUAUUCUAGUGAAAGACAAUGUAAGCUACUGUUUUUGCAAGCAUUCCCCAAAUGCGGCUCGCCAUCAAGCACCAAACAUUUAAUGUCUAAAAAAAUAACUUAGAGAAGUAAAUGCCCAGUAUUCUUUUUUAGCUUUCAGUAAGCUUGCCAUAUAGCUCAGUGUUAACAUGCAGGUUAGGUUACAGAAAGCAAUAAUAAACGACAAUAAACACUGCUUGGAUGGCAAAAAAACAUGUGAAUCAGAUCACUUUUUUAUUGCGAUAGCAAUUAUAUGGACACUCCAAAGCAGAUUUCUGCCGUCGCCGUGAGGUUCCGUAUGAUGUCAACGGCGAUGAAAUCGUCGCCGCGCUCAGGACGCUGUAUGUGCGAGUGAAAGGGCGCGAGGGACGCACGCUUUCACGGGGAGCGAACGCACGUCGGAGAGCAAACGCGCGUUCUGCACCGUGCUCCCUGAAGGGCUGCAGAAUUAAGCGUCUCUUUCCUCCUUUCCAUAUAUAGAGAGUAAACGCAACUUUUUCCGUCGCGCGAAAGGCUGUGAGGGGACGGGAGGGAGGGAGGAGAGGCGACGUUUAGCUGCGGCACCAAAUGCGUAUUUAUAUAAAAAUGCCGCACGCGUUCGGUGCGAACGCGGGCAAAACGCCGACGGCGUCGACAACAGUUCUGCGCGUUGCUGGUGCUGUUGCAUGUCCAAGUUUAUACAGCUGAUAAAACUACUAUCCUUACUCCGUAUAGAUCUCUACUAAUUUGCUAUCGCAAUUGGUGCUUCGCCUUUCGGGUGAAACUGCGACUUUUUAUUGCGAUAGCAAUUAUAUGGACACUCAAAAGCAGAUUUCCGCCGUGCACCGUUUGCAAUGACUUUUUGGGAAAUAGGAGGCUAAGCAAAUGGUGAUAUGGCUACACUGUAAAGACUGGAUAAGAUGGAUGACUGAAUCUGCAACAGAACAUUUGUGGACAUUGUGUGAGCCACAUUUUCCAUGCUUUUUCGCCGACUAAGCAAGACUACAUGCAGUGAGGCAGCAUAGGUUACUUUUCUAUGCUUUUUUUUGCUGACUAAGCAAGACUACAUGCAGUGAGGCAGCAUAGGUUACUUUUCUAUGCUUUUUUUGUUGACUAAGCAAGACUACAUGCAGUGAGGCAGCAUAGGUUACUUUCCUGGUGCAUCAGCAUGGGCUUUCUACAGUUGACUUACGUUAAUUCUACCCUGACGGCACCAACGAAAUUGAUCUAAUUAUGCGGCGGGUCGAAUUGAACAUGCAAAAAAAUGCUAAAACACGGCUGAUUCAUAUGGCAGUAUGUAAUUGACUUUAAGACGCCUCCGAAACAAACGUGCGCCAACUUUCUAUUUUUCCAAACUAUAAAACUGAAGUGCAAAUGACUUAAAACUUCAAACCCAAGUAGAAACCUAACGCAUACCUGAUUUUUGAGAAUGUCAGCUGAUUUUCUAAAGUCUCCCUCGCUGCAAUACAGCCAUGUUAUGCGGUAAAGCGUAUGAAUGCUCCAAAUGCGGUUUUAUUUUCGCACUCGAGUGCACAAUGCAGGCAGUUUCUGGCUCAAUUUCCUUCGAAAACAAAAUGUGUCCUUUAGAACCAGGUCAAUACCAUAAUCGGACAUUGUGAGCUACCGUUAUGGCUUGAAAAUCUUCCUAGGGUGGGUCAAAAAUAGCCGUUUAUAGACGUUUGUUUAAUGCAUUCACUGUCCCCUAAGCUCUGCCGAGAAUUACGUUGCCACUAAAAGGGGUCCUUAUUAGGGUCAGGUGCAUGCCUGUAGCUUGGUCAAGUUCGGAUUAUCUGGCGAAUGCCAAUUUUAGGAUCAAAAUAACAAAUGUUUAGGGCCGUAGAACUGCAUGGGAGCUGGCCAAGAUCUUUGGUCAGAGUUGAAUUAACCGAAAGAUUAACCAGAGUUGGAUUAACGGAAGUCUACUGUAUACACUUUUCUGUUCAACAAGGAGUUGCCAUUUUAAUAUGUAGUUUUCUUCUAUCAGUGUGGUAAUCGUGCUAAAUUUAGCAUUUGGUUAAUUUAAAAGGACAAGUUUCAAAGCAGGGGCACGCUUUGAGACUUGAAACAUUUGAACAUAUAAAGGUAGGACACAUUAGCAGCUGCUGAAUUAACCUAAGUUGGUUGUAUUAUGUGCAUAGCAUGUGGUUGCUUUCUGGGAAUGUGGUCAUUCUGUAAAAUAAAACUGCAUUUGUUUCAAAUAAAUUGCUGAAUCUACUGCUUGUGUGUUUUCCUGUGCUCUCUGUUCUGAUUGUGUGUUUGAAAGCGCAGUGAGUGACUGCAGACAAAUGCACAAGGCUUCGCUUUAUCAUGCCAGGAAGCAUUGUGACUUGAUAAAGGAGCCUUAACCCCUUCCAAUGCACACACACUUUCUUGUGCAUAAGCCAAUUAAAAGAAAAAGACUUACCUUUUCUCACGGAUUUUAAAACCUGCCAGUAUUAAAAACAGAGUGAAGCUGGACAAAUGCAAUUUACUAGAAGUAUUAUUGCUAAAGCCUCUUGUGUGUGCAAAGUAUGUGCAUGCAGUGCUGGCUAUGCCUUGGAAGAGCCCUGCAACAGCUUUCACCACACUGCUUG